UAUGAAAAAAACCAGAACUCGCACGCACCGACGCACGAGCGAGACUGCCCUCUCGAUCCCCUCGACCUACGAUCUGUGACUACAGACGCACCAGAUCGCCGCCGCGGACCUCGCAGGGAAGACGCGGACGAGAUCCCAAGCCGCUGCUCCUCCUCUCCCGGGAUGCCACCGCCGCCGCCGAACCAGGGAGACGCCGGCGACCGUCACCGCCGUUGUGGAUCACCAGGACGCCGCCGCCUGCACCGCCACCACCGCGCCUCGGAUACGUCGCUGCGAGGCGGAUCCCUGGGAGCGGGAGGAGGUAGGGGUCAGCCGCGUCGACAGCGGCGAGGUGGAGCCCUGGGGCUGGGAGUGGGUAUGGGAGGAGGUGGGGGGCAGCUGCGAGCGCAACGGGGUGAGGGGCGUCGAUGAGAUGCUCCUGGUGCCUCCCUCCGAGUGGGAGGGGGAGAGGGGCGUCAGCGGCGAGCCGGACGGGGCGAGGGGCGUCGAUGAGAUGCCCCCGGCGCUUCCCUGCGGGCGGGAGGAGGAGAGGGGCGUCGGCGACGAGGCGGGUGUCGGCGGCGAGAUGGGUGUCGGCGGCGAUGAGGAUUGCAUUGUUGCGCCGCCGCCACUUCCUACAGACUCCCUCACUCACAGUGCAAGACAUCCCAACUCGGGUCCAUCCGGGUAAACACCGCCGCCGCCCUUGGCAGGAUCCCUUUUGGCGGCUUCGAUCUAGGCAAAAGAGGAGCGGAAGGAGAGAAGUACUGGUCUAUGACUCGGGUCAUGGGGAUGGAUGGAUCUCUUGGUAAUGGUGGAUCCAGAGUUCCAGACUCAGUUCAUCUUAUAGGCUUAAUUCGUACUGUAUCAUUUUGAUGAAUACGUUGCUCCCCUAUUUUUUCUACAAUCAAGAUGAUUUUCCUCUGUGGGGUAUGCAUAUCAUCUUCUUUCGUUUUCGUUAGAACAUAUGAUAUUUUGUUUGACAGGCAGGUACAACGAUGGCAAAUAUCUGUUUUCAUCAUAAAUAUAUUUUCAUGAGAUACAAUGGCAAUCAGGCGGCACAUGCAGAAGAGUUGUGGAAGGUUGAUUGAGAAGUCAUAAGGACUGGGUGAAGCAAAAUGCAAUCUCCAAGUUUCAGGUUUCAAAAUGAGAAAUUGGAGCAUUGAGACCUUCGAACUGAAACCUAAAUAAAGAUGUAACUCGAUCCACCGUGUCCAAUCAUAAGGUGACAAUGGCGGCACAACAGCCAGGAGGAGACGGUGGCGAGCCCCCCUCCUCCAACUAUAGCAAUCCACCAGGCGGCGGCACGAACGACCUUCAUCUCUAGAUGCUUCCCUGCACACCGAUGAGAUUCACGCCGAUGGUCUUGACUUAUGACCAAUGUCCUUCAGGCCUGAAGUCCCUAUAGUACCCAAGGUCGAGUGAUCACUGUUGCGCCUCGCUGUGUCCUAACUCCUGACCAAUGUCCUUCAGCCUCUGGUAGCUCAUUCACUUUUUAGUGUUAGAUCUCCUUCUGUCAAGGUUUAAUGUUCUUGUACUAUUUUUUUGAGACAUGGUCACGGUUUCUUUAUGCAUGAUUUUUUAAA